rnacentral:rRNA from 1 species
UUCGGAUUGUAGUCUGCAACCCGACUACAUGAAGCUGGAAUCGCUAGUAAUCGCAGAUCAGAAUGCUGCGGUGAAUACGUUCCCGGGUCUUGUACACACCGCCCGUCACACCAUGGGAGUUGGAAAUGCCCGAAGUCGGUGACCUAACCGAAAGGGAGGAGCCGCCGAAGGCAGGUCUGAUAACUGGGGUGAAGUCGUAACAAGGUAAC